rnacentral:rRNA from 1 species
UGAGCGCUGGCGGCAGGCCUAACGACAUGCAAGUCGAGCGGAUGACAGGAGCUUGCUCCUGAAUUCAGCGGCGGACGGGUGAGUAAUGCCUAGGAAUCUGCCUGGUAGUGGGGGACAACGUUUCGAAAGGAACGCUAAUACCGCAUACGUCCUACGGGAGAAAGCAGGGGAACCUUCGGCCUUGCGCUAUCAGAUGAGCCUAGGUCGGAUUAGCUAGUUGGUGAGGUAACUGGCUCACCCAAGGCGACGAUCCGUAACUGGUCUGAGAGGAUGAUCAGUCACACUGGAACUGAGACACGGUCCAGACUCCUACGGGAGGCAGCAGUGGGGAAUAUUGGACAAUGGGCGAAAGCCUGAUCCAGCCAUGCCGCGUGUGUGAAGAAGGUCUUCGGAUUGUAAAGCACUUUAAGUUGGGAGAAGGGCAUUAACCCUAAUACGUUAGUGUUUUUGACGUUACCGACAGAAUAAGCACCGGCUAACUCUGUG